UGAAAGAUUCGAACCUGCUGCGGGUUCGAGCCGAACGAAGUGAGGCACCGGAGCCUCUGGCGACGGCCCGGAGGGUGAGCGAUGCGAAUCAUCCUGCACGACCCACCA
rnacentral:sRNA from 1 species